CUCUCUCUCUGCAGUUCACUUCAGCUCCCUGCCACCCUCCUGUCUUCAACAUGCCUGGCCCGGCCCCCAGUGGCACUAACGUGGGCUCCUCAGGGCGCUCUCCCAGCAAAGCAGUGGCGGCCCGGGCGGCGGGAUCCACCGUCCGGCAGAGGAAGAACGCCAGCUGUGGAGCAAGGAGCCCAGGCCGUAAGACCUCAGCAGGCACUGGGGGGAUGUGGCGAUUCUACACAGAGGAUUCACCAGGGCUCAAAGUGGGCCCUGUUCCAGUAUUGGUUAGGAGACUUCUGCUCGUCGCUUCUGUAUUUAUGUUGCACGUUUGGGGCAAGUACACUCACUCAUAGAUUUGGCUACAUCCACCUGUCUGUCAUCUGAAGAAGAAAGGAAAAAAAUCCCAACAUAUUUUGGACCAAAAACAUAGUGAUUUUCUGUUCAUGAGGAAGAAAUUUUCUGCAAGCUUACUGUUUUAUAGGGAACUUAAUGAGAAUUAAAGAAUCAAUUUUUUUCCAUGGCUAAUAAACUUUUUAAUUCAUUU